AGGCGAAUGGAAGAAAAACGUGGAGGUCGUCGUCUGUUGUGGUAGCCACCGCGCCACCCCGCAGGUCCUGGCCUUUCAGAUUAGGCCCGCUGCCCAGGGAAAUUGUAGUAACAUUUUCCAGGUGGUACGGAAUCCUCUAAGUCCAAUUCCCAAACUUUGCACUACAGCCAAUAGGAAUGAUCAUGGCUGCCAACAACCAAAGAAUUCAGAUUGGAGAUGACAAACCAUGAACGCAAAGAUGUACUAUGGUCUACCAGGAAUAUUAUCGAAAAGAAUAAGGGGGUAGGAGGUGGCAAGAAUAUCUCCACGGUCCGUUUUCUUCCUUUCCUUCUUCCCAGUAUGUUCCUUUUUGAAGUUUAAUGUCACGGUGCAACAAUGUUGCACGUGGUAAGGCAUUCCCACUAAAGGCACGCAGUGAACUGAACUAGGACACCUACUGCAAGUUACUGGAGAAAACAAAACCUCCUCAGAAUCCUGGUGUCUUUGGGAGAAAGUCACCCCUAUGAAACAUCCACAGGCGCUCCUGCCCCAAAAUAUUCGCCCGCCCCCAACGUCUCCCCUUACUCUCCGCCCCGUAAGUACUGCUCACCGACUCCAAAAAGAUCAAGGCGCGGCAGGCGGAUGAAGCUAGCGCGGCUCACGCCGCGGCCGGGCCGGAGCCCCGGCGUGGGCCAGGCGAG